UUGUGUCCUGGCUAAUUUCAUGGCCCUGCCUAAUGUGACCCAUCCCCUGAUCCAACAUUCUGUCAGAUACUAGGAUCUGGCCCUGCUAGACAAGUCCCCAG